rnacentral:rRNA from 1 species
ACGCACGCUGGCGGCGUGCUUAACACAUGCAAGUCGAACGGUGAAGCGCCUUCCUUUUUGGUGGGUGUGGAUGAGUGGCGAACGGGUGAGUAACACGUGAGUAACCUGCCCCCUUCUUCUGGAUAACCGCAUGAAAGUGUGGCUAAUACGGGAUAUUCUGGGUCUGUCGCAUGAUGGGUCUGGGAAAGAUAUUGUUUCGGUGGGGGAUGGGCUCGCGGCCUAUCAGCUUGUUGGUGGGGUGAUGGCCUACCAAGGCGGUGACGGGUAGCCGGCCUGAGAGGGUGGACGGUCACACUGGGACUGAGACACGGCCCAGACUACUACGGGAGGCAGCAGUGGGGAAUAUUGCACGAUGGGCGCAAGCCUGAUGCAGCGACGCCGCGUGAGGGAUGGAGGCCUUCGGGUUGUGAACCUCUUUCGCCAGUGAAGCAGGCCUGCCUCGUUUGUGGGUGGGUUGACGGUAGCUGGAUAAGAAGCGCCGGCUAACUACGUG